GUGCCAGCCGCCGCGGUAACACGUAUGGGGCAAGCGUUGUUCGGAAUCACUGGGCGUAAAGGGCGUGUAGGCGGUUCGAAAAGCCUGGCGUGAAAGGUAUCGGCCUAACCGAUAGACGGCGCUGGGAACUGCCGGACUGGAGUCAUGGAGGGGGAGCUGGAAUUCCAGGUGUAGGAGUGAAAUCUGUAGAGAUCUGGAAGAACACCGGUGGCGAAGGCGAGCUUCUGGCCAAUGACUGACGCUGAGGCGCGAAAGCGUGGGGAGCAAACAGGAUUAGAUACCCUGGUAGUCCACGCUGUAAACGAUGUGCACUAGGUGUUGGUGCCAUACAGGCAUCGGUGCCGUAGCUAAGGCGAUAAGUGCACCGCCUGGGGAGUAUGCUCGCAAGGGUGAAACUCAAAUGAAUUGGCGGGG
rnacentral:rRNA from 1 species